CCCUGGUAGUCCACGCCGUAAACGAUGAACACUAGUUGUGUGCGAUAUACUGUACGCGACUGAGCGAAAGCAUUAAGUGUUCCACCUGGGGAGUACGUUCGCAAGAAUGAAACUCAAAGGAAUUGACGGGGGCCCGCACAAGCGGAGGAACAUGUGGUUUAAUUCGAUGAUACGCGAGGAACCUUACCCGGGUUUAAAUGCAGGACGAAAUUCUGAGAAAUCAGAACCCCUUCGGGCGGACUGCAAGGUGCUGCAUGGCUGUCGUCAGCUCGUGCCGUGAGGUGUCGGGUUAAGUCCCAUAACGAGCGCAACCCCUAUCAUUAGUUGCUAACAGGUCAAGCUGAGGACUCUAAUGAGACUGCCACCGUAAGGUGUGAGGAAGGUGGGGAUGACGUCAAGUCAGCACGGCCCUUAUAUCCGGGGCUACACACGUGUUACAAUGGUCGAUACAAAGGGCAGCUACACCGCGAGGUGAUGCAAAUCUCAAAAAUCGAUCUCAGUUCGGAUUGGAGUCUGCAACUCGACUCCAUGAAGUUGGAUUCGCUAGUAAUCGUGCAUCAGCAACGGCACGGUGAAUACGUUCCCGGGCCUUGUACACACCGCCCGUCAAGCCAUGGAAGCUGAGGGUACCUGAAGUCUGUAACCGCAAGGAGCGGCCUAAGGUAAAAUUAGUAACUGGGGCUAAGUGGUAACAAGGUAACCAAGGGCGAA
rnacentral:rRNA from 1 species